rnacentral:tRNA from 1 species
UAGAACAUAGCUUAAAUAAAGCACCUCGCUUACACCGAGCUGUUGUCUGUUAUACCCAGUCUGUUCUUAG